rnacentral:rRNA from 1 species
GAUGAACGCUGGCGGCGUGCCUAAUACAUGCAAGUCGAGCGAACAGAUAAGGAGCUUGCUCCUUUGACGUUAGCGGCGGACGGGUGAGUAACACGUGGAUAACCUACCUAUAAGACUGGGAUAACUUCGGGAAACCGGAGCUAAUACCGGAUAAUAUUUCGAACCGCAUGGUUCGAUAGUGAAAGAUGGUUUUGCUUUCACUUAUAGAUGGAUCCGCGCCGUAUUAGCUAGUUGGUAAGGUAACGGCUUACCAAGGCAACGAUGCGUAGCCGACCUGAGAGGGUGAUCGGCCACACUGGAACUGAGACACGGUCCAGACUCCUACGGGAGGCAGCAGUAGGGAAUCUUCCGCAAUGGGCGAAAGCCUGACGGAGCAACGCCGCGUGAGUGAUGAAGGUCUUCGGAUCGUAAAACUCUGUUAUUAGGGAAGAACAUACGUGUAAGUAACUGUGCACGUCUUGACGGUACCUAAUCAGAAAGCCACGGCUAACUACGUG